rnacentral:rRNA from 1 species
UACGAAGGGGGCUAGCGUUGUUCGGAAUCACUGGGCGUAAAGCGCACGUAGGCGGACUGGUCAGUUGGGGGUGAAAUCCCGGGGCUCAACCUCGGAACUACCUUCAAUACUGCCAGUCUUGAGUCCGAGAGAGGUGAGUGGAAUUCCUAGUGUAGAGGUGAAAUUCGUAGAUAUUAGGAAGAACACCAGUGGCGAAGGCGGCUCACUGGCUCGGUACUGACGCUGAGGUGCGAAAGCGUGGGGAGCAAACAGG